AACGAACGCUGGCGGCAGGCCUAACACAUGCAAGUCGAGCGCCCCGCAAGGGGAGCGGCAGACGGGUGAGUAACGCGUGGGAACGUGCCCUUCGGUUCGGAAUAACUCAGGGAAACUUGAGCUAAUACCGGAUACGUGCGUAAGCAGAAAGAUUUAUCGCCGAAGGAGCGGCCCGCGUCCGAUUAGCUAGUUGGUGAGGUAACGGCUCACCAAGGCGACGAUCGGUAGCUGGUCUGAGAGGAUGAUCAGCCACACUGGGACUGAGACACGGCCCAGACUCCUACGGGAGGCAGCAGUGGGGAAUAUUGGACAAUGGGCGCAAGCCUGAUCCAGCCAUGCCGCGUGAGUGAUGAAGGCCCUAGGGUUGUAAAGCUCUUUCGCCAGGGACGAUAAUGACGGUACCUGGAUAAGAAGCCCCGGCUAACUUCGUGCCAGCAGCCGCAGUAACAC
rnacentral:rRNA from 1 species